AGAUCAGCGCAGAAAGUAUGGAAAAGUAUGAAAAAUGGAGAGACUGAGUACGUUCAGUUUGAAUAAGGAUCUCUUUUCUUCCAUCAUUGCAUCAAGUAUCCAUCUGCUUGAUUUGGUCCGAGUUCGUCUCGGAUUUAAGAAGUUUUAUUUUAAAAUAUCCAAAAAAAAUUCAAGAGAAAUCUUUAUAAAUACCAAAAAAACAUUUUAAAUUUUAGUUAUUUGGAUUUUCCGACUGUGGCUUCCUCAAACUUGUCUUUAUCCCGAUUUUGACUUUAUUCCGAUUAUGGCACUUUAACUCAAUUAUGACUUCCUCAAUUUUGACGUUAUCCCGAUUUUGACUUUAAUUUUAAUUAUAUCCCGAUUGUGACGUCUCGAAUAUUGAUUUUAACUCGAUUGUGACCUCACCAAUUUUGACUUCCAAUUGCGUCCUCGACGUUUGACUUUAUUUCUGAAAAGGUUUCCGAAAUAUUAAAAGCCACCCACAUUAUGAAAUGAUUACGGAUCCUGAUCCUCAACUUCUAUGAUUAAGAAGCGUUCGGAAAGUUCGAGAAAAUGGACUUUAAAAAUUUUCGACAAACAAACAACAUGGAUUCAUUCGAAUUACAUUGAAUUAAACGCGUGCAUAGUGCAGCUGAAAAAGAAAGGAAUUUUAAUCGAUUUAAGAAUGCUUCGGAAAGAUGUCUCUCCACAGUUCUGGCCUUGCAUAAAUUUGAGAACUUCUAAAUUACUCAUCUUUAAACAAAAAUAGCUUGAUGAAUGAUUAAAUGCGACCAGAAUAAUAAUAUUAAUUUUAAAAAUGCAAAUUCUCUCUGUAAAUACUUUUCGUUGUC